AAUAGAUACCCCGGUAGUCCACGCCGUAAACGAUGAGUGCUAAGUGUUAGGGGGUUUCCGCCCCUUAGUGCUGCAGCUAACGCAUUAAGCACUCCGCCUGGGGAGUACGGUCGCAAGACUGAAACUCAAAGGAAUUGACGGGGGCCCGCACAAGCGGUGGAGCAUGUGAUUUAAUUCGAAGCAACGCGAAGAACCUUACCAGGUCUUGACAUCCCAUUGGCCACUAUGGAGACAUAGUUUUCCCUUCGGGGACAACGGUGACAGGUGGUGCAUGGUUGUCGUCAGCUCGUGUCGUGAGAUGCUGGGUUAAGUCCCGCAACGAGCGCAACCCUUGUUCUUAGUUGCCAUCAUUUAGUUGGGCACUCUAAGGAGACUGCCGGUGACAAACCGGAGGAAGGUGGGGAUGACGUCAAAUCAUCAUGCCCCUUAUGACCUGGGCUACACACGUGCUACAAUGGACGGUACAAACGGUUGCCAACCCGCGAGGGGGAGCUAAUCCGAUAAAACCGUUCUCAGUUCGGAUUGUAGGCUGCAACUCGCCUAC
rnacentral:rRNA from 1 species